GGGCCCAUAGCUCAAUGGUGGAGCGGCCGGCUCAUAACUGGUUGGUUGUAGGUUCGAAUCCUACUGGGCCCA
rnacentral:tRNA from 1 species